UGGGGAAUAUUGCACAAUGGGGGAAACCCUGAUGCAGCGAUGCCGCGUGGAGGAAGAAGGUUUUCGGAUUGUAAACUCCUUUUAUCAGGGACGAUAAUGACGGUACCUGAAGAAAAAGCUCCGGCUAACUACGUGCCAGCAGCCGCGGUAAUACGUAGGGAGCGAGCGUUGUCCGGAAUUACUGGGUGUAAAGGGAGCGUAGGCGGGAUGGUAAGUCAGAUGUGAAAUAUACGUGCUCAACAUGUAGACUGCAUUUGAAACUGCUGUUCUUGAGUGAAGUAGAGGUAAGCGGAAUUCCUAGUGUAGCGGUGAAAUGCGUAGAUAUUAGGAGGAACAUCGGUGGCGAAGGCGGCUUACUGGGCUUUUACUGACGCUGAGGCUCGAAAGCGUGGGGAGCAAACAGG
rnacentral:rRNA from 1 species